UACGUAGGGUGCGAGCGUUGUCCGGAAUUAUUGGGCGUAAAGAGCUCGUAGGCGGUCUGUUGCGUCCGCUGUGAAAACUCGGGGCUUAACCCCCGAGCCUGCAGUGGAUACGGGCAGACUAGAGGUAGGUAGGGGAGACUGGAAUUCUCGGUGUAGCGGUGAAAUGCGUCGAUAUCAGAGGAACACCGUGCGGAAGGCGG
rnacentral:rRNA from 1 species